rnacentral:rRNA from 1 species
ACAUCAUCCGAUCCCUAGUCGGCAUAGUUUAUGGUUAAGACUACGACGGUAUCUGAUCGUCUUCGAUCCCCUAACUUUCGUUCUUGAUUAAUGAAAACAUCCUUGGCAAAUGCUUUCGCAGUAGUUAGUCUUCAAUAAAUCCAAGAAUUUCACCUCUGACAAUUGAAUACUAAUGCCCCCAACUAUCCCUAUUAAUCAUUACGUCGAUCCUAGAAACCAACAAAAUAAGAUCAAACGUCCUAUUUCAUUAUUCCAUGCUAAUGUAUUCAAGCUAAUGCCUGCUUUAAACACUCUAAUUUUUUCAAAGUAACAGUCCAAAUUCCCCGCAACACCAAAUUAAUGGCAUUGCGGUUCAUCAGGAAGGAGGAAUCAGUGAGACCAGUACAUACCAGAGGCAUGACCAACCUACUAACCCCGAAAUUCAACUACGAGCUUUUUAACUGCAACAACUUUAAUAUACGCUAUUGGAGCUGGAAUUACC